rnacentral:rRNA from 1 species
GACGAACGCUGGCGGCGUGCUUAACACAUGCAAGUCGAACGGAAAGGCCCUGCUUUUGUGGGGUGCUCGAGUGGCGAACGGGUGAGUAACACGUGAGUAACCUGCCCUUGACUUUGGGAUAACUUCAGGAAACUGGGGCUAAUACCGGAUAGGAGCUCCUGCUGCAUGGUGGGGGUUGGAAAGUUUCGGCGGUUGGGGAUGGACUCGCGGCUUAUCAGCUUGUUGGUGGGGUAGUGGCUUACCAAGGCUUUGACGGGUAGCCGGCCUGAGAGGGUGACCGGCCACAUUGGGACUGAGAUACGGCCCAGACUCCUACGGGAGGCAGCAGUGGGGAAUAUUGCACAAUGGGCGGAAGCCUGAUGCAGCAACGCCGCGUGCGGGAUGACGGCCUUCGUGUUGUAAACCGCUUUCGCCUGUGACGAAGCGUGAGUGACGGUAAUGGGUAAAGAGGCACCGGCUAACUACGUG